ACGGAUGAACUACUGCACGAAGAGCGACCAUACGAAGCCAAUCAGAACGAUGGUCGACAAUUGCAAUCCAGUGACUUGUCCUACGUUUCGCUUUCCUUUCGCGAAACUUCCGUUUCCGCGAACGUUUGAUACGAACGUUUCAGGUCGAGUGCUUCACGAAGACGUGACAGAGCAAUCGCGCGUUGACUCGUGAUGGGGACAGUUUUCCUUGUUCCGUUUCACGACCAACUGAGUUUCGUGAGUCACGCGCAAAGAGAGUUUCUUUCUUCGAUCGGUUUCUUUAGCUAAAUAAAAUGAUUAGCAUUGUGGAAGUAGUUGGGACUUUUAAUUGGAAAGUUUGCGAGAUUUUGUCAGAUUGCAAUUGAGAUCGUAACUUUCGACAAGUUAUAAAGCUAUAUCUUUAAGUAGACAAAUGACUUGAAUAGUGAGGACGAACGUCGAAAUUUGAAAAAAUAUUUCAAGCCAGGAAAAUAACAGAUUCACCGAUGCAUUCGCUUCAGAGUUUAGUUUCUACUAUUUGAAGCAAUAUUUCACUUACUGGUUUAUUCUAGAAGGUUGACAAAAGUGGUCUUUUGAGAGAAGAGAGAACAAGAAGAAGGGAACAAGAGCCCCGAUCAGAUCUGCUUAGAACAGAUAGACUUAUUUCACUAGCUCCACUGUCAGUAGUACGAGUCGUCUUUAGUCAGACCAUCGGAACAGAAAAUAUUCCCAAAAUAAAGCGAGUACAUCCAAAUAAUCUUCUGCACGGUAAUAAAGUUUAGAACGUUAAGAUUAAUCGUACCAAGUCCUCCGCGCAAAUAUAUAAUAAUUUCAAAAAUAUUUAACGUUAUUAGUUUCUAAAUAAGCAUCGUGUUGAAAUCGUCGCAAAGUAGCGCAGCCAGUGAAAUGUACAAUUUCUGUGGAAUUACUGUUUUGCACACGGCUCCUAAUUACGUUAGACGUUUUUUUAUACUUUUUUCCUUUAAUUAAAUUGUAAAGUUUAAUUAAACUAUGGCAUUUUAAUAUUACUAGGUAAUUAACUUACGAAGUAUUUCAUUUUUAUUACUAUCUACGGAAGUCCGUUUUA